rnacentral:rRNA from 1 species
UUGAAUUGAAGCCCCAGUAAACGGCGGCCGUAACUAUAACGGUCCUAAGGUAGCGAAAUUCCUUGUCGGGUAAGUUCCGACCUGCACGAAUGGCGUAACGAUCUCCACACUGUCUCGGCCAGAGACUCGGUGAAAUUGCAGUCGCGGUGAAAAUUCCGUGUACCCGCAGAAAGACGGAAAGACCCUGUGCACCUUUACUAUAGCUUGACAUUGGAUUUUGGGCCUGCAUGUGUAGGAUAGGUGGGAGGCUGUGAACCCUGUACGCCAGUAUGGGGGGAGCCAUCCUUGAAAUACCACCCUUGCAUGUUUAAGAUCCUAACUUCUUCCGGUUAUCCCGGAGAAAGACAGUGUCUGGCGGGUAGUUUGACUGGGGCGGUCGCCUCCUAAAGUGUAACGGAGGCAUGCAAAGGUUCCCUCAGCCUGAUCGGAAACCAGGCGCUGAGUGCAAACGCAUAAGGGAGCUUGACUGUAAGAGAGACAUCUCGAACAGGAACGAAAGUUGGCGUUAGUGAUCCGGUGGUCCCGUAUGGAAGGGCCAUCGCUCAUUGGAUAAAAGGUACGCCGGGGAUAACAGGCUGAUCGCAUCCAAGAGUUCACAUCGACGAUGCGGUUUGGCACCUCGAUGUCGGCUCAUCACAUCCUGGGGCUGAAGCAGGUCCCAAGGGUACGGCUGUUCGCCGUUUAAAGUGGUACGCGAGCUGGGUUUAAAACGUCGUGAGACAGUUUGGUCCCUAUCUUCUGUGGGCGAAGGAGAAUUGAGAGGGCCUGUCCCUAGUACGAGAGGACCGGGAUGGACGCACCCCUGGUGAUCCUGUUGUCGCGCCAGCGGCAUAGCAGGGUAGCUAUGUGCGGAAGGGAUAACCGCUGAAAGCAUCUAAGCGGGAAGCCUGCCUCAAGAUAAGUUCUCCCCUCGAAAGAGCUGAAGGGCCCGGGUAGACUACCCGGUCGAUAGGCUGGAGGUGUAAGCGCGGCGACGUGCUCAGCUGACCAGUACUAAUAGCCCGAGCGGCUUAUUUUU